rnacentral:rRNA from 1 species
UACGAAGGGGACUAGCGUUGCUCGGAAUCACUGGGCGUAAAGGGUGCGUAGGCGGGUCUUUAAGUCAGGGGUGAAAUCCUGGAGCUCAACUCCAGAACUGCCUUUGAUACUGAGGAUCUUGAGUUCGGGAGAGGUGAGUGGAACUGCGAGUGUAGAGGUGAAAUUCGUAGAUAUUCGCAAGAACACCAGUGGCGAAGGCGGCUCACUGGACCGGAACUGACGCUGAGGCGCGAAAGCGUGGGGAGCAAACAGG